rnacentral:rRNA from 1 species
UACGAGGGGGGCGAGCGUUGUUCGGAUUUAUUGGGCGUAAAGGGCGCGUAGGCGGCGUUUUAAGUCGGGGGUGAAAGCCUGUGGCUCAACCACAGAAUGGCCUUCGAUACUGGGACGCUUGAGUAUGGUAGAGGUUGGUGGAACUGCGAGUGUAGAGGUGAAAUGCGUAGAUAUUACCAGGAACACCAAUGGCGAAGGCAGCUUGCUGGGCCACUCCUGACACUGAGGUACGAAAGCGUGGGGAGCGAACAGG